rnacentral:rRNA from 1 species
GAUGAACGCUAGCGGGAGGCCUAACACAUGCAAGCCGAGCGGUAGAGUUUCUUCGGAAACUUGAGAGCGGCGCACGGGUGCGUAACACGUGUGCAACCUACCUUUAUCUGGGGGAUAGCCUUUCGAAAGGAAGAUUAAUACCCCCUAAUAUAAUGAUUGGCAUCAAUUAUUAUUGAAAACUCCGGUGGAUAGAGAUGGGCACGCGCAAGAUUAGAUAGUUGGUGAGGUAACGGCUCACCAAGUCAAUGAUCUUUAGGGGUCCUGAGGGGGAGAUCCCCCACACUGGUACUGCGACGCGGACCAGACUCCUACGGGAGGCAGCAGUGGGGAAUAUUGGACAAUGGGUGAGAGCCUGAUCCAGCCAUCCCGCGUGAAGGAGGACGGUGCUAUGGAGUGUAAACUUCUUUUGUACAGGGAUAAACCUACCCUCGGGAGGGUAGCUGAAGGUACUGUACGAAUAAGCACCGGCUAACUCCGUG